UUGCCUGGGUUUUCUUAAUUGAAUUCCCGAAUUUAAAUGCUAGUCCAAGUUAAAACUUGGGCAAGACCUUCAAACUGACGGGGAACUCCUAAAGCUUCAGACACCAAGCCUUAUUCCGAAAGGGUAGGGUGGCCAGGUUAAUAGCCUCGGGUAUGGUAAAAGAUCUGAAGAUAUUACAAUGGACAAUCCGCAGCCAAGGCCCUAACGAAGUGUUUCACUUCUAUGGGACAGGUUCAGAGACUAGAUGGAGGUCGGUCUCAUGUAAAUGAGGCUUAAGGUAUAGUCCGGCUUCAAGUGAAAACUUGUU
rnacentral:ncRNA from 1 species